AAAAUACUCCCUCCGUUCCGAAUUACUUGUCUUGGAUUUGUCUAGAUACGGAUGUAUCUAGACUCAUUUUAGUGCUAGAUACCUCCGUAUCUAGACAAAUCUAAGACAAGUAAUUCGGAACGGAGGGAGUACUAU
rnacentral:pre_miRNA from 1 species